rnacentral:lncRNA from 1 species
AAACUUUACAAAGAAAAUUGAAUACGGUUAGACAAGUAUUAUCCGGAGUCUGGAAAACAUAGUCUUUGUCACCAUUGAAGUCUCUUGCCAGUGAAAACUACCGUCACACUAUUGAACUGCUGGCUCCUGUUGAGUAGUCGCGGAAGGUCCCGGUGCUGUUAUACUGUAAUGUAUGGUAAGAGGUUGGUCCUGUUGAGGAGUCACGGAAGGUCCUGAUGCUGCUACACUGUAAUGCAUGGCCUGAGGUUGUUCCUGUUGAGGAAUUGCCGAAGGUCCCGGUGCUGCUAUACUGUAAUGUAUGGUCAGAGGUUGCUCUGGUUGAGGAGCCGUGGAAGGUCCCGGAGCUACGCUGUAGUGUAUGGACUGAGGUUGCUCUUGUUGGUGAGUCACUGAAGGUCCCGCUGCUAUACUGUAAUGUAUGGACCGAGGUCGUGUUGCCUGUAUCAUUACUGCAACAUCAGCCGCUGUGAUAGCUGCAGCUUCCUGGUUUGAUUGGAGAAAAGAAAAUAUACAAGACUAAUUACCAGAACCAAAGAUUUCAAGUAGCAAGAAAAAUUGAGCUGUAAUUUUUUUCAAGAGAGUCGGAGCUAUUACCUGUCGCUGCCUACGGCGCUGCAAUAUGCUGAUAGCCCAGGCCACAAUGUAACAGGGGAGAAGAAAACCGGCAGCUCGGAGCAGGAAAAGCUAGAAGAAUUAAAAAAGUUAGAAUCAAAACAAUUUUAAAAAAAAUGUGAAUUACGAAAAGGUUAAUGCAAAUUCCAGCUAUGCUUACAGAGAUAAAACGAGAUAAAUCAUCGUCCUCUUCUCCACUCGUUAGGUACAAAGCAUGCCUCAAGAAUAGAAGAGCCAUUAGCUGCAAAUAAACAAAUAAAAUAAGAUCUAAAAACAUAGGACAUCCAAUGAACUGGUUUAUUUUCAUAGAGGAAACAAAAAGCUUACAGUUAAGGCAGCAGCACGGAAAAAUUCAGUUCCACUAGAAUCAGGCUCAGCAUAUUCAUCAUAGCCUUGCUCCAAAAUAUGGCGUUCUGCUGCCACAGCUAAAAUCCGUUGGUCGUGUAAACCCAAAGGGGCACCAGCGACCGUCCACUCACUGUGUAAAGAAAGGGGGGAAGAAGAGGUCAGAGGUGAUUAGCAUACAAUAGUAAUCCAUCCCUACGGAUCACUGAACAGGUUCCGACAUAUAUAGAUCCUCACAAACAGGAAAGACAAAGCAAGCAAAGUUUGAGCGACACCGAUCUUCAUCAUGUCUAUUUUUAGGUAAGUGCAUGAUUGUAAAUACUGGCCUGAUAUCAAUUGUAGCAACCUCUGGCUGAGGGGGAGGUGGUGGCACAGUAUAUCCUGGUUGAUAAGGCUGCAAAUCAAAUAUUUUUUGCAGGAAAAAGUUAAGAGGCCCCAUAUUUCAACUCAAGCUAAACUAUUUCAAUUAGUGAGAUAAAAUUGAAAACAAAGAUAUACUACAAGGACAACAAACAUCACGGAGUAACGUCUACUAACAAAGUAUUACAAAAUGCAUACCUGAUGACAUAUCUCACACGUUAUGUCUCCUUUCUCGUUGCACCAACGUUGAACACAUUUCCUGUGAGCAAACUGGAUAAUAACAAAUUUGUCAGCCAAAACCAUUACUCCGUAAAAACUCACUAUUAAGUCUUAAAUUUUUAGAAACAAUGGAUACCUUCAAACUGCCACUGCAAGAACAAGGUGUCUCCAAAUUGUUAAUGUUGUCCUCGUCCUGGCAGAUACGGCAUUCAACCGUCUGGAUGAGUGGUUCUUCUUCGUCACACGAACCGUGUUCCUCCACUUCCUCAACAUCAAUAGCACAAACAUGUGGCUCAGCAACUACAGAAGAACCUUCACCCGAAGGUCCCGCAACCUCGGGUUCAUUCACUGAUUUCAAACUUUCGGGUUUCGUAAGGCGGUCCACGCAUACAACAAGAUGAUCACUCAUUUUGCUUAUCUGAAAGGAAAGGUUUUCAAAAGUUAUAACAUACUGAUAUACAACAUUGCAGAAAAAAAAAUCCCUAUGAAAAUCAUAAUAACAUAUGAGACUGAAACUGCAAAACAUACUUCAAAAACUAACAUACAACAAAUCAACUCUUUUUUAUAGUUACUAAAAUCACUCCAUAUAAACAUCAGGUGCUUUAAAAUUCCAUAGUAAUUCUCUAUUUUAAUAAUUAUUAUUUAUUUUCAUGUAUAAUUCAAAGCUUCUCUCCUUUUUUUUUUCUCUUAAUUUUCCACCGAAAGAAAAACCCCCAAUUCAUUUCAUUACUUUUCAGAACAAUCAAACAACCAAACAAAAUUCCCAAAAUUAAAAGAGAAUUUUUUUAAAAAAGAGAGAGAGAAGAAAAUACCACAAUCAUGAUGAAGAACUGAACAAACCCAUUAAUUGAAAAGAAUCAAAACAUAAUAAAAUAAAAAGAUUUUACCUAAAAGAUGGAACUUUUUUUUUCUGGUGGGAGAGUCGAAAUAUUCUUAUCAGAAGAUUUUCCUUCGUAAAUCAAUGAGUUCCUUUGCUUGGAAAUUAAUCAAAUCGAUAUAAAUUGAAGACCUUUCUAUUUUCUUUUUUUUUUCUUCUCCUUAUAUAUAAAAUUUAAGUAUAAUUUAGUAAAAUUAAACUAAAAAAAAACCAAUAAAAAAGUUUAGUAUUUUACUAGUAGGGCUCUGUUUUAAAUGAAGCUUUGGAGUUUUAGGGUCUGUUUUUUUGGUUAACGGACGUCAAUGGUUACGAUUUAAAUUCCAUUUUUGUCCCUUCCACUAAAUUUCGGACAAAGAUAUGAUCCGCAAAAACAUGAAAAAUUAUUUUUUUGCGAAAAUAAAAUUAUUUUAUAAUUUUAAUUUUUGUUGACGGAUUUAACUAGAUAACACAUUGGAGAAAUAUAUUAAAUUUGUGUUUUUUUAAUAAAUCAUUUAAAUUUCGUGAAAACCGACAAUAAUUGUUUUUAUUGUUAUAAUAUUAAUUUUUAAAUUUUGUUAGUAUAACCAUCUCGACAUACUUUUAAACUCUGUUAUUACCAAUUUUUUAUGUUUAAAUCCGUUUUUUUAAUAAAAUAGAAAAAAUAAUCAAUGUAUAAAAAAAAACAAACGUUAAUAUUUGUUAUUUUUUUGCCUUCAAAAUCUUCUGUUUUUUUUUUUGUUAAUUUGAUUGAUGAUUGCACCAAAUGAAUAUAAUAAAAAUGUUUGAUGAAGAAAUCAUGUGAAGGUUGAUGGAAAAUAGAGCAUGGAUUGACUUCAGGGAUCGCGGUCAUUACGGCUAGGGGCCUUGCCCCCUGAAUUUUUUAAAAUCUUCAUUAGACUUUUAAAAAUUUUAAUUAGGUCCCUCAACAUUUUUGAAAUUCUCAUUAUACCUCUAAAAUAUUUUAAAGUUCUAAUUAAACUUAUCAAAAUUUAUAAAAUUUCUCACUAAAUCUUAAACAAUUUUAUAAUUUAGCUAGACUCUCUUAAAUUUAAUAUGAGUAUCCAAUAUUGGUUGUCUUGUAAUUUAAUCUAUCACGAUAAAUUGAUUAUUUAAAAAAAUUAUAAUUAAAGAGAUCCAAAUAGCUAAAAGAUAUUUUAUUGGAUGUCCUUGAAGUCGCAAAAGAAAAUAUUUUAGAUAUCCAGUAUAUUAAAAAUUAAAUUGUUGUAGAUAUCGAGAAUAUAUUUAUUAAAUUUUUUACUAGAAAAUAAAAUAGAUUGUCGAUAAAGUAUUAACUCGAUUAAUAUAGGCAUUGUUGUUAAUAUAGGAAGAUGUAGAUUUCAGUAUGUUGAAUCGCAUUAUCAUCCUAUUUAUGAGUUGGACAGAUGUUAUAGGUAAUUCUAAACAUUGUAUUAAAAAGAGCAUAUAUGAUCAAAAUCUAUAAUGAGAUUAAUAAAAAAAAUUAACCGACUUUUUUCUUCUUAAUUGUAAAAUAUCUAUGCAGCCCACAAACACCUAGAGCUUUAGCAAGUUUUCAAAAGAGAAGGCGUUGGAAGCUCUUAAGCUAGAAUUAAAGGCCAGCAUCGAGAAGGGAAUUGCAUUCGCGCAGAAGCAACCAGUUACCGCUUAAAAAUCUAAGUUUUAGACGUACCAAAACUUGCCCCCUCUCGAGAGAGCCAGGUCUGCACCAGUAGUUUCAAUUUUGCAGAAUCAAAGUUUUUUCGGUUUCUUUUUCCAAUUACAUCACAGAAUACCAAAUUUAGAAGGGCAUUUCGAUGUUGUAGACGAGAAAAACAUAAACAUUUCUGAAUCAGAACUUUAGACAAUCUCAAAUAAAUGCUACAUUUCAACUUUCUUUUAAUCUUUGGCAACAUCCUUAAACCGCAAUACAUUACAAAGUCUAAAGCAGCAAAACAAAAGCAACAAUACAAGAUGGCAUUAGCGGCUCACCGCCUCUUUCCACGGCCUUGACCACUACCUUUUCCACCACGACUGCCAUUGGAUGCCUUCUUUGUAUCAGGUUGCUUCAUCUCAUCCGACAGGGGAAGUAUAUGAUCGACACACUUCCGAAAGCUAAAAUCAUCGAAGGUAUCGUCGUCCUUGAUGACAAAGAAACAUUUACUUUUCCACACCAGAUCGAUUUGAACUUGGAAGCCUUUGAUCCCUUUACCAAUCUUCUUAUCAGGCUCUUCGUGAACUUUUUUAAGCAAUUCAAGCAGCACCAUGUGUUCGUACUGUAAAAUAUAAGGUGAAUUAUGAACCAGAGCUAAAAAUUCCCAAUAAGCAAUGAUCGUCUAAUGGACAAUAAGUUUAGACAUUAUAAUUACCUUAUUAAGGUUGAGAUGAGUAGCCCAACAAUGAAGGUGUUAAAUAUGACUCCUAUUUCAGUCAAAUUUGAGAAAUAAUCUUCUAGUUAAACUCUGUUUAUUUGUUUCAAUCAAACACUGAUUAGUUUAGAUUAUUUUAUUAUUAUUUGACGUAUAAAUUUAGCCUAUAAAUAGACUUUUUUACAACCUUAAAAAAAUAUCCAUUAGAUAUUAGAACUUAUAACACAUUUAGAGAAUUUUGUGUUUACGUUUUGAGAGUUUUAUUUUUGGGGUUUAGUUUUUAUCUCCAUCUUUUUGUACUCUUCGUUUCUUUUGCUAUUAUAGUAAAAUUAUCUUUGCCCGUGGUUUUUUAUCCUCUUUGGAGAAGUUUUUCCAUGUUAAAUUUGUAUGUUCAUUUCUCAAUUUAUUUCGCUAUUUUGGUUAAGUUUCAUAAAUCAGCCCAUUUAGAUAUGGCAGCAACAAGGUUUGAAAUUGAGAAAUUCGAUGGUGAGACAAAUUUCAAUCUGUGGCAAGUUCGGAUGAUGGCAAUUCUAGUUUAAUCCGGUUUGAAAAAGGUUGUUACUGGGAAAAAGCUUGAGAAUCUAAAUAAAACAGAAUGGGAAGAGCUUGAUGAAAAGGUUUUGUCUGCAAUCCAGUUGUGCCUCGAGAAUACGGUAUUGUAGGAGGUAUUGAUGGAGAAUACCUCAUCUGCCUUAUAGAAAAGGUUAGAAACUCUUUAUGCAACUAAGUCUCUGGCUAACCGUUUAGUGUUGAUACAAAGUCUAUUUACGUUUUGCAUGAACGAAUGUGAGCUUCUUAGAGAUCACAUCAGUCAAUUCAUUACUUUUUAAAAUAAUUUAAAGAACGUUGAGGUUCAUAUUGAUGAUGAAGAUCAAGCUAUGCUAUUAUUGUGCUCCUUACCCCCUUCAUACAAGUCUUUCAGGGAGACCCUGAUUUAUGGCAGAGACAAACUCUCGUUCGAAGAUGUGAAGGGUCAUUUGGAGACAAACUCGACAAUGAGCUUCAUUUGGAUAACAAGACAGAUAGACAAGCUUCUGUUUUGGUAGCAUCAAAGAAACGAGACAAAAUGUGUCGCUAUUGUAAAAAGUUAGGUCAUGUCAAAGCAGAUUGUUAUAAAAUGCGAAAUAAAAGAGCUGUUGAGAGUAACGAGGACGAUGUAGCUGAUGCUAAUUUGGCUGAUGAAAGCGGUGAUGACUUCUUGUUAGUGUCAACGAGAGAUAACUCCAAGCUCAUGUUUGAGUGGAUCCUAGAUUCGGGAUGUUCUUUCCACAUCUGUCCCAAUAGAGAAUGGUUCUUCACAUACAAUUCGGUUGAAGGUGGAAUUGUGCGCAUGGGAAACAAUUCAUCUAGUACGGUAAUUGGUAUUGGUACUGUUAAAAUUAGGAUACACGAUGGGACGAUUAGGACACUCUCAGAUGUCAAGUAUGUACCUGAUUUACGAAAGAAUCUCAUCUCCUUGAGUAUUUUAGACUUGAAAGGAUGCAGAAUCAACAUCGAAUUGAGCGACAUUAAAGUAUCUCGUGGAGCUCUCGUUUUGUUAAAAGGUAAAAGAACUGGAAGUCUUUAUAUUCUGGAAGGUUCUACAGUGACUGGUGAAAUCGGACGUUCCUCGUCCGUUACAGAGUCUAAGUCAACUCGUUUGGAGCGGAGACAACUUGGUUAUAGGAGGGAAAAAUGUAUGACCAUUUCGUUGAAGAGAGGUUCUCUUUUGGACGCAGGUUUUAAAAAGUUAGGGUACUGUGUUCGUGAAAAUCAGACCCAGGUUAAUUUUAAUUUGGCAGUGUACAAGUCGAAGGCUAGAAGUCUUCUAGUUCCUAAGCACAUAUUCGACUUAGUUAAUUCCCUGCAUAGUUCAAAAUAGGCUCAUAGCGUGCUUUGGUAAAGAUGGUGUUGUAGAAAUAUGAGUCAAGGUGGAGAUUUGUUAAGUAUGACUCUUAUUUCAGUCAAAUUUGAGAAAUAAUUCUCUAGUUAAACUCUGUUUAUUUGUUUCAAUCAAACACUGCUUAGUUUAGAUUAUUUUAUUAUUAUUUGACAUAUGAAUUUAGCCUAUAAAUAGACUCUUUUACAACCUUAAAAAAAACACUCAUUAGAUAUUAGAGCUCAUAACACAUUUAAAGAAUUUUGUUUUUACGUUUUGAGAGUUUUUUAUUUUCGGGGUUUAGUUUUUAUCUCUAUCUUUUUGUACUCUUUGUUUCUUUUGCCAUUAUAGUAAAAUUAUCUUUGCCUGUGGUUUUUUAUCCUCUUUGGAGGAGUUUUUUCACGUUAAAUUUGUGUGUUCAUUUCUCAAUUUAUUCUACUAUUUUUGUUACUUGUUGCUUAAUCGGGUCGAUCUCUAACAGAAGCAAAUUGUAAAAGUAAUCAAACAUCUCCACGGACGACCCGAAUUCCUUCGGGCCAAGCCGGACCCGACUCAAAACUGAGGGCACUGAGUUUUUCUCGAUGAUUUCAUCGUCGACGGACGACUCCGCCUUCUGUUUCUUGGAUACCUCGUCGCUUUCUCCGCCGUCUUCUUCUCUCUGGCACUUCGAUUUCGAGCCGCCGUUGUAGGCCAACCCAGCGUCAACGCUGUCAUCAAAAAUCGGGGAGGGCGGGACUUGGGUUUCGGGAUUCAUGUCUUCGGUUGGUGGAUUGGUCUCGACAGGCUCCGCCGAUACCUCUUUCUCUGCCAUUGCAAAAGCUAAAAUCCUAAGGUUUUUGUUCUUGAUUUUCUGGUUUUCGGAAUAAAAGGAAUUAAUCUAGGCUUUUUUACUUGAAAAAAAUACUGUUAAUUAUUUUAAAACUAAUUGCUUGAAGCACAAAUAAGAAAUAUAUGGGGGAGCACUGAGCAGGCCCAGGUCCCUUUUAAUGGCAAUUAUUAUUUUAACCACUGCCAAAAAUAAAUUAUUUGGUCUACAGGCUUCCAACCUGCGACCUUCUUUAAACUUCCGGAUAUUAAAAAAAAUGAGAAUAUUUUAAUUUUAGCUCCUCUAAAAUUUUAAUGAUUUAAAUUUAAAUUUGAUUAAAACUUGGGGCUGAUUCUACAAAACUCGGGGCUGCACAGGUGAUUGAAGCAAAGGUAACUUGGGAGACUGAACUCUAGAAGAAAAAACAAAUCUUUAUUGAAUAACUUCUCUAAAACAGAGGUAGUCCACAUGGAGAGGACCAAUCUCUUGAAGAACAAAUGCAAAAAAUGAAAACAUAGCUGGACCUAAUACCCUAUUUAUAGCUUUAAGAAUCAAUCAUUUGCAGUACAACACAAUCUGAAGAUAAGCAAAUAAAGUAGGUGUGUAUAGGUGGUAACAUAUCAAUAGGCCGUGGACAAGGUGGCAGACCCUGCACCUGCCUUUGCCUCCACAGCCUCCGUCCCGCCAUUUUGGAUCCAGACAAUUAGUUGCUCCAGUUCUUCAUCAGUAAAGCUAACAGUGGGUUCCGUCUUUGACAGCAAUGGUAAAAUGGUGAUACCAGCAUGUCCCCCUACAACCAGAACGCCCACAUCAAUGAGCUUGAGGUUUUUCUCCUGAGCAACUCCCUUGACAUUCACUAUAUAUAUCGUAGAGGUUCAGUGCUGAAACUAGCAGGGACAUCUUGAUUACAAGUGCCCAAAAGAAAAUUGAAUAGGCCCAUAUUAGACACAUUAUCUGGAGUCCGCAUUCACCACCGAAGCCUCUUGCCAGUGAAAAUGACUGUCACACUAUUGAAGUGAUGCCUUCUGUUGAGGAGUUGUGGAAGGUCCCGGUGCUGCU